UAAUUGAUUUCCUGAUUUCUAUCGUGUUCCACGAGACUGUUGCUGCUGCUGCUGCUGCGAGUUAGGACGAAGGGGUCAGGCUUAAUUUCUGUGGAUUUUGACACGUUGAGGUAGGGGAUUCGUUUCCAAACUAAACAUUUUAAAUCAUGAAUGCCAAUAAAGUAUUAGAUGAGGCUCUUCUAAAAUGCAAAUAGUUUAAAGAGUAAAGUGUUGUAUAUAUACAAACACUUAUGAUAAGAAAAUUAAUCUUCUUGCCUUAGGCUUGUUUGUAUGUUUUACAUUUACUUCUAGCAGCUGGUAAGUUAUCCUUCUUAGUUACUGAAUGACCAAUACAAGGCUGGAUUAAUUUCACACAGAUUUUAUUCAUGAGGCAAGGAAUUCUGAGAGAGCAGCCAAAAACUUGAGAAAUAACAAAUUGAUCAGGGUUCCUCAUGUAUUCUGGGAUUUGACUAGCAGGCAAGUCCUAACAAUGCAGUUUUAUACAGGGCGAAAGGAGGACAUGAUGUGAAGAAAAUAUGUUCUAUACAAAUAUAAGAUGGGAUGGGUCUUAUAAUGAUUUUGGUUAUCUACCUGUAUUAUUUUGAUGUGUUCUUAACAUUUUGAAAAGAGACUUUAUCCAAU